AGAGCGAACGCUGGCGGCAGGCUUAACACAUGCAAGUCGAGCGCCCGUAGCAAUACGGGAGCGGCAGACGGGAUAGUAACACGUGGGAACGCGCCCUUCGGUUCGGAAUAACUCAGGGAAACUUGAGCUAAUACCGGAUACGCCCUUACGGGGAAAGAUUUAUUGCCGAAGGAACGGCCCGCGUCCGAUUAGCUAGUUGGUGAGGUAAUGGCUCACCAAGGCGACGAUCGGUAGCUGGUCUGAGAGGAUGACCAGCAUCACUGGGACUGAGACACGGCCCAGACUCCUACGGGAGGCAGCAGUGGGGAAUCUUGCGCAAUGGGCGAAAGCCUGACGCAGCAACGCCGCGUGAGGGACGAAGGCCUUCUGGGUUGUAAACCUCUUUCAGCAGGGACGAUUGUGACGGUACCUGCAGAAGAAGCCCCGGCAACUACGUGCCAGCAGCCGC
rnacentral:rRNA from 1 species